rnacentral:rRNA from 1 species
AACGAACGCUGGCGGCAUGCCUAACACAUGCAAGUCGAACGAUUGCCUUCGGGUGAUAGUGGCGCACGGGUGCGUAACGCGUGGGAAUCUGCCCUUAGGUUCGGAAUAACAGCUGGAAACGGCUGCUAAUACCGGAUGAUAUCGCGAGAUCAAAGAUUUAUCGCCUGAGGAUGAGCCCGCGUUGGAUUAGGUAGUUGGUGGGGUAAAGGCCUACCAAGCCGACGAUCCAUAGCUGGUCUGAGAGGAUGAUCAGCCACACUGGGACUGAGACACGGCCCAGACUCCUACGGGAGGGAGCAGUGGGGAAUAUUGGACAAUGGGCGCAAGCCUGAUCCAGCAAUGCCGCGUGAGUGAUGAAGGCCCUAGGGUUGUAAAGCUCUUUUACCCGGGAAGAUAAUGACUGUACCGGGAGAAUAAGCCCCGGCUAACUCCGU